GUGCCGAAAGCAUUCCACAGGGAUGCUGGCCCGUGUUGACUCUAAUGCUUCCCACAGUUGUGUCAAGUUGGCUGGAUGUCAUUUGGGUGGUGGACCAUUCUUGAUACACAUGGGGAAACUGUUGAGCGUGGAAAAAACCCAGCAGUGUUGCAGUUCUUGACUCACUCAAACCUGUGCGCCCGGCACCUACCUCCACACCCCGUUCAAAGGCACUUAAAUCUUUUGUCUUCCCCCUUCACCCUCUGAAUGACACACAUACAGUACUGAUCUAACGGUUUAGAACACCGACUCAUUCAAGGAUUUUUUCUUUAUUUUUACUAUGUUCUACAUUGUAGAAUAAUAGUGAAGACAUUAAAACUAUGAAAUAACACAUAUGGAAUCAUGUUGUAACCCAAAACAAAAAUGUGUUUAAAUCAAAAUAUAUUUUAUAUUUGAGAUUCUUCAAAUAGCCACCGUUUGGAUUUAACAAGUGACAUCAACAAGGGAUCAUAGCUGAUCUCCUGGAUUCACCUGGUCAGUCUAUUCAAUGCAAAGAGCAGGUGUUCCUAAUGUUUUGUCUACUCUGUGUCUUAGCUUAAUAUUGUUAUUAUCAGUUAACCUUUGUCCUACAGAAUAAUGUGUAUGAUAUGAUAUUUUAGAUUUAUAUUACUCCUCAAUCAUCCCCUGUAUUCUGUGUAGACAGGAUUUUGACCCGAAACGUUUCUUAUUGCGCUCUGGACUGGUGAGUUUGUUACCAAAUAAAAACAGGACAGACCGUUCUCUGCCACAUGUGUUGAGGGGGACGGGGUUAUUUGCUCCAUCAUCACAACCACAUGUGUUGAGGGGGGCGGGGUUAUUUGCUCCAUCAUCACAACCACAUGUGUUGAGGGGGGCGGGGUUAUUUGCUCCAUCAUCACAACCACAGGUGUUCUGGAACUUCAGAGCUGUGAGGGGAAAUGAGUUGGGCCACUCUGUUGCGCAAUCAAGGAUGUUCCCUCCAUCUCCUUCCUUCCUUCCUUCCUUCCUGGCAGAGUAGAGGAUACACAUUUCAUUUCCUGGUCCCGUGGACAACAACAGUGAGAAGCCUCCUUUACAUUUGAAGAGUUUAUUUUAGAUAAAUUCAAAAAUAGUUUAUUUCAGAUGUAUAUAACAAUUGUUUUUUUGUUACAAAACAUUAUAUAUACAGUGUUUAGCUGGAAUGGAAUGUUCCUAACCUUUAUAUAUAACAUAUAAAUUCCAAAAGAGUUUAUUUACAAAACACUAUAUCCCAUCAGUUUUUCCAUGUGUUUUUUUUAUUCCAUCAGAAAUAAAUGCAAAUGGGGUACCUUUGUGUAAAGUAUUACUGUCCUCGUAGAUGUUCAAUGUGUAUAACAAUUGGUUUAGUUAGUAAAGAGCUGUAUAUCCAGUGUUUAGCUGGAAUGUUCCUAUCCUGUAUAUUUCACUUAUAUAUUCAACACAUGAAUCUAGCCUCAUUCUAUAGUGUUUGGUUAGAGUUA
ensembl:lncRNA